rnacentral:lncRNA from 1 species
CUCCAUAUAUGGAAGGUCUUCGGAAAGAUGAUCUUCAUUGGACAGAUGAGAAAACCAAGGCCCGAAGAGGGAAGAUUCUUGCUCAGGGUCAUGCAGCAAGUUCAAGGACGUAUUACUCAGAAGGUUGGAACCAUUUUUUGACCUGCCAUUCAGAGAUCUGCUCCUCCUGUUCACUCAGGAACUGGCUGGGAGAGGCUCCAUUUCAAUGUGGCUUACACAUCACAGGAGAAAUUCUUUCUAGCUUUUCUUCUGGAGACAACACAGGUUACUUCCACUCACACUUGUCAUGUGGCCACACCUAACUUGGAGGCAGAUUGAAGGGGAGAUGCAGGAUGCCUACCAGGGAGAAGCAGGGAAGACUUCUCUGGUUUUAGCAGGGAGCUCAAUUGUGCAUGAGAGUUGACCAGGGAGGGAGUUCCCAUUGUGGCUCAGAGGGUUAUUAACCCAACUAGUAUCCACGAGGAUGUAGGUUUGAUCCCUAGCUUCGUUUAGUGGUUAAGGAUCCAGUGUUGCCAUGAGCUGUGGUAUAUGUUGCAGAUGCGGCUCAGAUCCAACAUUGCUCUGUGAUGUAGAAUGGCAGCUGCAGCUUCGAUUUGUCCCCUAGACUGGGAACUUCCAGACCCUAAAAAGCAAAAAAAAAAGGAGUUGUCCAUAGAAAGGGUGACAUGGCAGGGUCUCAGGGAGCAGCUAGGGACUGGCAGCAGUAUGUGUACAGGCUCUGAGUUAGGAAGCAUCACAGCCUAUUUGAGCAGCAGAAGGAAGGCCAGAGUAGCUAGAACCCAGCCAGCAAGGGGAAAGUGGCUUCCAUUCCAAUGGGACUUGGGGAAUUAGAUGCCAGUGGACAACAGUUAGUCAUACCCCUGGGGAGGAGAGUGGCAGCAGAGUUUAUUUUGGUUUCAAUAUGAGAAACCAGUGGGUGGGGAAAGGGGCACAGAGAGUAGACAUCUGUGCCUCUCAACACACCUGCAAGGUGGGCAGAAUGCCCAUUCUAUUGGAAGGAACCUGGACCAGCGAGAUGAGUUGCUUGGCUGGAUGGUUGCAGUUGGUAAGCCUCUCUAGAAUCAGGAUUCAAAGCCUUUCCUUCAGACUCAGACAAUCCCUGGUCCCCACUGGCCACAGGGGUCUCCCCUAAUGUUGGAGGAAUCUUCCAUAUCUUGCAUCGUCCCUCAGCCCCCCGUGGGGCGGUGCUUAGGUUGGCGAAGCUCACUUAUGUUUUAUUGAAGGCCGUGUCUGGGACCAAGCAAGCUCUUUCAUUCACGUUCCCAAUUGCCACGGAGCAUCUGUCUCUGUGUCACGCCUCUGAGAAAACUUUCACAAGAUGAUAUUGAAUCAACAAGGAGGAAAUGUUGGGGGCAUCAAAGAGAAGUUUUAGAAAUGGCUGCUGGAAAAAGCAGGGGUGCCUUUUCCAUGCUGAGCUCCCCAUCUCCCAAUUAGCAUACAAAAACAUUUUUAAAGGAAUAACCUUUGCUAAUAAAACGCUAUAAUCUCAAUAAGACA